rnacentral:rRNA from 1 species
UAAUACAUGCAAGUCGGACGGGAUUGGAGAGCUUGCUUUCCAUGAGAGUGGCGCACGGGUGCGUAACACGUAUGCAACCUACCUUUACCAGGGGGAUAGCCUCUCGAAAGAGAGAUUAAGACCGCAUAACAUUAUUGAAUGGCAUCAUUUAAUAAUCAAAUAUUUAUAGGGUAAAGAUGGGCAUGCGGAACAUUAGCUAGUUGGUGAGGUAACGGCUCACCAAGGCUACGAUGUUUAGGGGAUCUGAGAGGAUGACCCCCCACACUGGUACUGAGACACGGACCAGACUCCUACGGGAGGCAGCAGUAAGGAAUAUUGGUCAAUGGGCGGAAGCCUGAACCAGCCAUGCCGCGUGCAGGAAGACGGCCCUACGGGUUGUAAACUGCUUUUGUACCGGAAUAAACCUU